rnacentral:rRNA from 1 species
ACGGAAGGCAGCAGUGGGGAAUAUUGCACAAUGGGCGAAAGCCUGAUGCAGCGACGCCGCGUGAACGAAGAAGUAUUUCGGUAUGUAAAGUUCUAUCAGCAGGGAAGAUAAUGACGGUACCUGACUAAGAAGCACCGGCUAAAUACGUGCCAGCAGCCGCGGUAAUACGUAUGGUGCAAGCGUUAUCCGGAUUUACUGGGUGUAAAGGGAGCGCAGGCGGUGCGGCAAGUCUGAAGUGAAAUCCCGGGGCUCAACCCCGGAACUGCUUUGGAAACUGUCGUACUAGAGUGUCGGAGGGGUAAGCGGAAUUCCUAGUGUAGCGGUGAAAUGCGUAGAUAUUAGGAGGAACACCAGUGGCGAAGGCGGCUUACUGGACUGUAACUGACGUUGAGGCUCGAAAGCGUGGGGAGCAAACAGGAUUAGAUACCCUGGUA